UCGAGGGGUAUAGUUCUUCGGAAGUAGAGACCGGCGCACGGGUGCGUAACGCGUAUGCAAUCUACCUUUUACAGAGGGAUAGCCCAGAGAAAUUUGGAUUAAUACCUCAUAGCAUAGCAGAUUCGCAUGAUUCCACUAUUAAAGUCACAACGGUAAAAGAUGAGCAUGCGUCCCAUUAGCUAGUUGGUAAGGUAACGGCUUACCAAGGCUACGAUGGGUAGGGGUCCUGAGAGGGAGAUCCCCCACACUGGUACUGAGACACGGACCAGACUCCUACGGGAGGCAGCAGUGAGGAAUAUUGGACAAUGGGCGCAAGCCUGAUCCAGCCAUGCCGCGUGCAGGAUGACGGUCCUAUGGAUUGUAAACUGCUUUUAUACGAGAAGAAACACUACUUCGUGAAGUAGCUUGACGGUAUCGUAAGAAUAAGGAUCGGCUAACUCCGUGCCAGCAGCCGCGGUAAUACGGAGGAUCCAAGCGUUAUCCGGAAUCAUUGGGUUUAAAGGGUCCGUAGGCGGUUUAAUAAGUCAGUGGUGAAAGCCCAUCGCUCAACGGUGGAACGGCCAUUGAUACUGUUAAACUUGAAUUAUUAGGAAGUAACUAGAAUAUGUAGUGUAGCGGUGAAAUGCUUAGAGAUUACAUGGAAUANCNAUUGCGANGGNNNNUUACUACUAAUGGAUUGACGCUGAUGGACGAAAGCGUGGGUAGCGNACAGNAUUANAUACCCUGNNNGUCCACGCCGUAANCGANGGAUACUAGC
rnacentral:rRNA from 1 species